GCUUAUCACCAUUCCAGAUUGAAUAUACCCGAUCUCGUCUGAUCUCGGAAGUCAAGCAAUCUCGGGCUUGAUUAGUACUUGGAUGGGUGACCGUUGGGAAUACCAAGUGUGAAAAGCA
rfam:Ciona savignyi cont_34779, whole genome shotgun sequence.